GAUGAACGCUGGCGGCGUGCCUAAUACAUGCAAGUCGAGCGAACAGACGAGGAGCUUGCUCCUCUGACGUUAGCGGCGGACGGGUGAGUAACACGUGGAUAACCUACCUAUAAGACUGGGAUAACUUCGGGAAACCGGAGCUAAUACCGGAUAAUAUAUUGAACCGCAUGGUUCAAUAGUGAAAGACGGUUUUGCUGUCACUUAUAGAUGGAUCCGCGCCGCAUUAGCUAGUUGGUAAGGUAACGGCUUACCAAGGCAACGAUGCGUAGCCGACCUGAGAGGGUGAUCGGCAACACUGGAACUGAGACACGGUCCAGACUCCUAAGGGAGGCAGCAGUAGGGAAUCUUCCGCAAUGGGCGAAAGCCUGACGGAGCAACGCCGCGUGAGUGAUGAAGGUCUUCGGAUCGUAAAACUCUGUUAUUAGGGAAGAACAAAUGUGUAAGUAACUAUGCACGUCUUGACGGUACCUAAUCAGAAAGCCACGGCUAACUACGUG
rnacentral:rRNA from 1 species